CUGAAGGAAGUGCUUGCACUUCUGGACGAGUUGCGAACGGGUGAGUAACGCGUAGGUAACCUGCCUGGUAGCGGGGGAUAACUAUUGGAAACGAUAGCUAAUACCGCAUAACAAUGGAUAUUGCAUGAUAUCUAUUUGAAAGAUGCAAUUGCAUCACUACCAGAUGGACCUGCGUUGUAUUAGCUAGUAGGUGAGGUAAAGGCUCACCUAGGCGACGAUACAUAGCCGACCUGAGAGGGUGAACGGCCACACUGGGACUGAGACACGGCCCAGACUCCUACGGGAGGCAGCAGUAGGGAAUCUUCGGCAAUGGGGGCAACCCUGACCGAGCAACGCCGCGUGAGUGAAGAAGGUUUUCGGAUCGUAAAGCUCUGUUGUAAGAGAAGAACGGGUAUGAGAGUGGAAGGUUCAUACUGUGACGGUAUCUUACCAGGAAGGGACGGCUAACUACGUGCCAGCAGCCGCGGUAAUACGUAGGUCCCGAGCGUUAUCCGGAUUUAUUGGGCGUAAAGCGAGCGCAGGCGGUUAGAUAAGUCUGAAGUUAAAGGCUGUGGCUUAACCAUAGUAUGCUUUGGAAACUGUUUGACUUGAGUGCAGAAGGGGAGAGUGGAAUUCCAUGUGUAGCGGUGGAAUGCGUAGAUAUAUGGAGGAACACCGGUGGCGAAAGCGGCUCUCUGGUCUG
rnacentral:rRNA from 1 species